GACCUGGUGGUGAAAUGUAUCACACCCACUGUCCAUCCUGCUUAACAAAGAUCCUGUGGGAGGUCCCUGGUUCGAGUCCAGGUCAGGUCA